rnacentral:rRNA from 1 species
UACGUAGGAGGCGAGCGUUGUCCGGAAUUACUGGGCGUAAAGCGCGCGUAGGCGGUCUGUCGCGUCGGCGGGGAAAGCCCUCGGCUCACCUGGGGGAGGUCCGCCGAAACGGACAGACUGGAGGGCGGUAGGGGCUGGCGGAACGCCCGGAGUAGCGGUGAAAUGCGUUGAGAUCGGGCAGAACACCAGUGGCGAAGGCGGCCGGCUGGGCCGACCCUGACGCUGAGGCGCGAAAGCCAGGGGAGCGAACGGA